AGAGUUUGAUCCUGGCUCAGGAUGAACGCUAGCGGGAGGCCUAACACAUGCAAGUCGAACGGGAAGGGUAGCAAUACCCUGAGAGUGGCGCACGGGUGAGUAACGCGUAUGCAACCUACCUUUAACUGAGGGAUAGCCCAUAGAAAUGUGGAUUAAUACCUCAUAGUUCUUUUGAGUCGCAUGAUUUGGAAGAUAAAGCUCCGGCGGUUAAAGAUGGGCAUGCGUGACAUUAGCUAGUUGGUGAGGUAACGGCUCACCAAGGCUACGAUGUCUAGGGGUUCUGAGAGGAUGAUCCCCCACACUGGUACUGAGACACGGACCAGACUCCUACGGGAGGCAGCAGUGAGGAAUAUUGGUCAAUGGGCGCAAGCCUGAACCAGCCAUCCCGCGUGCAGGAUGACGGCCCUAUGGGUUGUAAACUGCUUUUAUACACCAAGAAAAAUCUCCACGAGUGGGGACCCGACGGUAG
rnacentral:rRNA from 1 species